rnacentral:rRNA from 2 species
GUGAGUAACGCGUGAGAAUCUGGCUUCAGGUCGGGGACAACAGUUGGAAACGACUGCUAAUACCGGAUGUGCCGAGAGGUGAAAGAUUAAUUGCCUGAAGAUGAGCUCGCGUCUGAUUAGCUAGUUGGUAGUGUAAGGGACUACCAAGGCGACGAUCAGUAGCUGGUCUGAGAGGAUGAUCAGCCACACUGGGACUGAGACACGGCCCAGACUCCUACGGGAGGCAGCAGUGGGGAAUUUUCCGCAAUGGGCGAAAGCCUGACGGAGCAAUACCGCGUGAGGGAGGAAGGCUCUUGGGUCGUAAACCUCUUUUCUCAAGGAAGAAGUUCUGACGGUACUUGAGGAAUAAGCAUCGGCUAACUCCGUGCCAGCAGCCGCGGUAAUACGGAGGAUGCAAGCGUUAUCCGGAAUGAUUGGGCGUAAAGGGUCCGCAGGUGGAACUGAAAGUCUGCUGUUAAAGAAUCUGGCUCAACCAGAUAAAAGCAGUGGAAACUACAGAACUAGAGUAUGGUAGGGGUAGAAGGAAUUCCUAGUGUAGCGGUGAAAUGCGUAGAUAUUAGGAAGAACACCGGUGGCGAAAGCGUUCUACUAGACCAAGACUGACACUGAGGGACGAAAGCUAGGGGAGCGAAUGGGAUUAGAUACCCCAGUAGUCCUAGCCGUAAACGAUGGAUACUAGGCGUGGCUUGUAUCGACCCGAGCCGUGCCGGAGCCAACGCGUUAAGUAUCCCGCCUGGGGAGUACGCACGCAAGUGUGAAACUCAAAGGAAUUGACGGGGGCCCGCACAAGCGGUGGAGUAUGUGGUUUAAUUCGAUGCAACGCGAAGAACCUUACCAAGGCUUGACAUCCUGCGAAUCCCGGUGAAAGCUGGGAGUGCCUUAGGGAGCGCAGAGACAGGUGGUGCAUGGCUGUCGUCAGCUCGUGUCGUGAGAUGUUGGGUUAAGUCCCGCAACGAGCGCAACCCUCGUUUUUAGUUGCCAUCAUUAAGUUGGGCACUCUAGAGAGACUGCCGGUGACAAACCGGAGGAAGGUGAGGAUGACGUCAAGUCAGCAUGCCCCUUACGCCUUGGGCUACACACGUACUACAAUGCUACGGACAAAGGGCAGCUACACAGCGAUGUGAUGCAAAUCUCGGAAACCGUAGCUCAGUUCAGAUCGAAGGCUGCAACUCGCCUUCGUGAAGGAGGAAUCGCUAGUAAUUGCAGGUCAGCAUACUGCAGUGAAUUCGUUCCCGGGCCUUGUACACACCGCCCGUCACACCAUGGAAGUUGGUCACGCCC